rnacentral:sRNA from 1 species
UAAUGGUUGAGUUGGUUACUGUAGUUUCAGGCCUAGGCAGAGCAAAAGUUGGAAAUGCACCCAAUCACUCUCCUUCAUUGUACACACACUAACUCAUCAGUGUUCCUAAUUUUGUCAGGCAUUUGCUUCCAGUACACGGAAAUAUUUAGUACAUGGAGGCUAUGCCCUACCUUGUUACUGUCAACUUGGUCAAACUGACGGGGUAUUCGUGCUUACUUUCAGUGAUGUACUUCAACAUGCUGGUAAUAUUUUGCCAGAAAGAAUUUUUUAUUGUUAUAUGAA